UACGUAGGUGGCAAGCGUUGUCCGGAAUUAUUGGGCGUAAAGCGCGCGCAGGUGGUUUCUUAAGUCUGAUGUGAAAGCCCACGGCUCAACCGUGGAGGGUCAUUGGAAACUGGGGAACUUGAGUGCAGAAGAGGAAAGUGGAAUUCCAAGUGUAGCGGUGAAAUGCGUAGAUAUUUGGAGGAACACCAGUGGCGAAGGCGGCUUUCUGGUCUGUAACUGACACUGAGGCGCGAAAGCGUGGGGAGCAAACAGG
rnacentral:rRNA from 1 species